rnacentral:rRNA from 1 species
UGGGGAAUAUUGGACAAUGGGGGCAACCCUGAUCCAGCAAUGCCGCGUGUGUGAAGAAGGUCUUCGGAUUGUAAAGCACUUUCGACGGGGACGAUGAUGACGGUACCCGUAGAAGAAGCCCCGGCUAACUUCGUGCCAGCAGCCGCGGUAAUACGAAGGGGGCUAGCGUUGCUCGGAAUGACUGGGCGUAAAGGGCGUGUAGGCGGUUUACACAGUCAGAUGUGAAAUCCCCGGGCUUAACCUGGGAGCUGCAUUUGAUACGUGUAGACUAGAGUGUGAGAGAGGGUUUGUGGAAUUCCCAGUGUAGAGGUGAAAUUCGUAGAUAUUGGGAAGAACACCGGUGGCGAAGGCGGCAACCUGGCUCAUGACUGACGCUGAGGCGCGAAAGCGUGGGGAGCAAACAGGAUUAGAUACCCUGGUAGUCCACGCC